rnacentral:lncRNA from 1 species
UUUAAGCCCGGUUCGGUCCGGUUUAAGCCCGGUUCGGUGCCGGUUUCGGUCUGGGCUGUCCCGGUUUGGCCCGGUUCGGUUCGCUUCGGGUCUGCUUCGGUCCCGGUCGGGCUCGCUUCGAUUCGGAUCGGCUCCGCUUUGGCCCGGUUCGCUCCGGUUCGGCUCCGGUUCGGCCCCGGCUCGGUUCGGCCCGGUUCGGCCCCGCUCGGCUCGGCUCGGCUCGGUUCGCCCCGGUCCCGGUCCCGGUCCCGGUCCCGGCGCCGCCGCCGCCACUUUUAAAAGUCGGUGGCGGGCGCGGGGCCCCCCCCGGCGCGGGGCCGGGCCAGCCAAUGGGCGCCUCCCGCCGCGCUGACGUCACCGCGGGGGGGGGUGAUGGCGUCAUUUUUUCCACAUUUAGCGGGGGGAUCCCGGGGGGGGGGGGGGGGUCGGGGUCUCCCCCCCCACGCCCCCUCCCACCCCCCACCUCCCCCCGUCUGUCUGUCUGUCCACCCGUCUGUCCGUGCCCGGCCGCCCCCCCCGGGCAUCGCCCUGGCCCCCCGUCCGUCCGCCCCCCUGUCCUGGCCGUCUGUCCGUCCAUCCCUCUGUCCGUCUGUCCUUCUGUCCAUCCUCCUGUCCUGUCUGUCCGUCCGUCCCCUUGUCCUGUCCGUCCCUCUGUCCAUCCUCCUGUCCCUCUGUCCGUCCCCCUGUCCGUCUGUCCACCCGUCUAGGCCCUCUCUGUCCGUCUGUCUGUCCCUGUAUCCCUCCCCCGUCCAUCCCUGUGUCCGUCCCUCUGUCCCCCUGUCUGUCCCUCUGUCCGUCCGUCCCUCUCCAUCCCCU